GGUCUCCUUCCGCCUGGACAUCACAGUGCCCAAGGCUGUAUUUGCCAAGGGGCAGCCAGCACACAGUGAGGUGAAGGCCCAGGUGGGGGCGAGUGCCACUCUGAGCUGUGAGGUGGCCCAGUCCCAGACAGAGGUGACGUGGUACAAGGAUGGGAAAAAGCUGAGCCAGAGCUCCUGGGUGCGCAUGG